UACGUAGGGGGCAAGCGUUGUCCGGAUUUAUUGGGCGUAAAGAGCGUGUAGGCGGCUGGGUAGGUCCGUUGUGAAAACUCGAGGCUCAACCUCGAGACGCCGAUGGAAACCCCCCGGCUAGAGUCCGGAAGAGGAGAGUGGAAUUCCUGGUGUAGCGGUGAAAUGCGCAGAUAUCAGGAAGAACACCCGUGGCUAAGGCGGCUCUCUAGGACGGUACUGACGCUGAGACGCGAAAGCGUGGGGAGCGAACAGG
rnacentral:rRNA from 1 species